rnacentral:misc_RNA from 1 species
UAUAGGUGUACCAUUUCUUCCAUGGGUACGUAAAUUUAGUCUAAAAUAUUAAAAAAGGGUCAAAUCCAUUCAUGGGGCAGUAUGGAAUGAAUAGAGGAGGGAGCAUUUUUACCCUUACCAAAUGGUACCACCCCACUCACGGCAUUGUGUAAUUUGGGUUUUUCCGGUUUUCUAUUAAUGCGAUGCUACGAAAGCAACCCAUAUUCCAUCAACGGAAAAUAAAUGUCUGGAUACAAAUUGCACCCAAGGUACAUCGUCAGUCUGUAUUAUACGCAGCUAUCCUCUCUACCCUGAAGCUGGUUUUUCUCCAAGAACUUUUCCACAGCUACAGACUAUCCAAUAUUCAAGUGGGAGCUCUCUGGAAGGAGUUGCAAAAUGGCGUCCUGCCUCUCAGUAUUGGCUUCUUGUCUCUCUGCCUUGGGUUCACGUGUUGCCGCAGCAGUUUCUUCAUGUUUUUCGGUAGCAGCCUCAAAAUUCUAUCGAUGCCUUCUCUAUUUGGGUGUCCACCAGCGCAACACGACCGAAAUAAUAAACACAGCAUCCAUGUGGGUGGACUUCGAAGACUACUGGUUCACUCAAGGGCAUUCCCGGCAUGUUUACCGGGGCACGUAUCAAGGCGACCGUCGCGUGGAGGGCAAACCCUGCGUCGUGAAAGUCUACAAAGAAGAAUGGUACUUGAACAACGACCGAGAAGAAUACACAUGGAGAGUAGACCAACGUGCCUACGACAAAGCCCAUGAAAUGGCGCGGGAUUUUAAUGAACAGUGUCAAACAAGUAAAGCAAUCCAAUUCGUUCGACCGGAAUUCACCAGCAUUAAGGUUUCUCAAUUCAUCCCCAUAAACGCAAUGGUGGCCAUCGAGAUGUACCUGGAUGGGAAGGACUUCGAGAAAUUCUCAAGCAAUGUUGGUUAUGUUAACCCUGUCGCUAUGGCGUCCCCGGCUGCCUUCAGCCACUUCACUUACCAUACCUCGGGUGGCAAAGUUUUAGUUUGUAAGUUACAAGGGAUUCGCAGUAGCGCGUGGUACAAAUUCUCUGCUCCGGCUAUUCAGAGCGGAGGCAUGGAACUUGGAGAGUAUGGUCCGAGUGAUUUGGGAAAGUUUGGCAUAUUGGCAUUUUUUGAUGACCAUUGCUGUAAUGAUUUGUGCAAAGGGUGGAAGAAACCCCAAAUCAUCGACCUUUCUCCUGAACAAGGAAACUUACUUGAUAAAAUCAUGAGCGCCAUGCGGUCUGAGCGUUCGUCAAAGCGCACUUGUUAUCUGAACGAGUUGACUGACGUUCCUGUCGAACAGAUCGUACAAAUACAUAGCACUUUAAGGCUGGAAGCAGUCCAUGUUUCGUGAACAGGCAUAAACUAAAAACAUCCCCCAUGCAUAAACUUUGCUUUUCUUCACUUUAGUUAAAUCCGCCUUUUCUGUUAAGAAAUACACACAGUUCGGCCUAACCAAGCCUCAAUAUACCAAUAGCGACAUUAUUUCAAAACACGCUUCUAAGACUUCGUGAUACAUUCAUUUCACAAAUAACAUCCUUUUCGGAAACUGCUCAUCGAACAAGUUCGACUCCCCUCCAGACAAAAAAAGAACAUUUGCAGUGUUUCUGCCAUUGGGAACAUUGCUUUCGUUACCACUGUUGGUGGUCAGUGGUAUUUCUAGUAGUUAGGGGUGGUCCAGGGAUUAUCUCGGCUUGGUGAACUGGCUGUUUCAAUGUGUAGCCUAUUUCAACACUGUCUGUGUACACUUGCAGAGGAAUUGAGGUCAUUUUACGUUGUAAUGACAAGCCUAUUCCAAAGUGGUCAUACCUUGCUAUACUAUACAGUUUACAAAAUAGCCUUCACGUUUGUGCUCAUGUCCUUCAAAUUGCCAACAUUAGCAGUGACUGAAUAGUAGUAAAUGUAUAGUACCUGUUGAUAUUGUAGCUUAGAGAGCUGGUAGAACCUAGUUCCAGAGGCGUAUCCAACUUUUGAAGGGGGGAAUUUAAAAGCGAAAGCGGCUUUGGGCAUUUAAUAUGAUGUUUGGGGAGCAGAAAAUUAAAAGCCUUACUCACGGUCAUGUCUUUGCCAAAGAGUUCAUAAUGCGUGUAACUUGUCUGCAGUAAAUGCAAAGAAAUGACAUAUUUUACUGAACAAAAACCUACGAUUUCAAAAAGGGCAUGAUUUUGAUGCUGUAAUUGUUAGUAGGCUUUCAAACUUAAACAGCACACGGUAUACACUGAGAGCUAUUUCCAGUGUUACAGAACAUAGUAUUCACACUGAAAUCAAAUUCCUUAUGUCACUUGAUUUCUUUAUUUUCAGACGUUCCAACUUCACUUAAAAUACUAUAUUGGCCUGAUUCUAACACAUUUCGAAUAAAGCCACGUUUGACAACAGAAACUGUUCUAUUUAUAUUUAAAAUAAAAAGUCCACGAACAUAUAAAAAGCCUCAAUAAAAAGUUGAGGAAACUUGUAAAAACUCCUGCCUACACUUCAUUCCUAAAUUAUCAUUCUAUUGUUUGCAUUUGUAAAAAAAAUAUUAGUGAGCUACAUUUUUGUUACUUCGUAGUCGUAGACAAAGAACAGUUGAAAAUAAAAGUUCAGUAUUCAAUUUUCACAAAUAUUUUCGAUAUUUACAUGUGCAGUAAGUCAGUAGUGAUCUAGCACUACAUCUGGAGUGGUUAAUUCUUUAAUUGUAUGAACAUUUGUGCCAUUUUUAACCAUUUGAGCAAAACAUUUAAUGAGUGGAAAUUGGCCAAAGGCCAAAUCAGUUUACGGUCUAGACUUAUCUUCCAUUUUCUGGGAAUCAGCACUACCGGAACUCUAUUUUGUAGAGUACAAAUGUUUAGUCCUUUUCUCUAUCGGUCCUUUUUAACACUUUGAUUUUUUGUUAACCUUUGGAAACCCCUCAGUUUUACGCUGUUUUCUAAAGGUACCGAGCAGUGAAAAAUUGUUUAGAAUAGCAAUUUCAAACGAUUUCGAAUAUAUUCAAUUAAUAAAAGAAACUUCUUUAGGCUAAAUUUCAAUACAUUUUACUUGAUUUCAAUUUACUAAUGAGAGGGAUAGUAUAAUGUUACACUGUACGAAAGUGACCGAGUGCAGUAUGUAUAUGUAUCAGUGUACCGAAUAAAACAGUUAUUAGUUUUGAGGUAAUUGCAUGAUUUAACUUUUAACGAGUUAUGAAAACUUAAAACUUCCAAACAUUCGUCUUCUGAAGUAUCCCACACCAGAGAUGGUAUAACAAUGUCUGUGAUACUUGUCCAGAACUUCUCAGACAUUUGUCAAGCAUGCUGCCAAAAACAGCCAGCUAUUUUGGAAGAUUUUUGUCAGACAGCAUCACAAUAAAAAUAUUUAAGGAUUUUUUUUUGAGAAAACAAGUGGCUGCUAGAGAACACAUUACACGCCUAACUUUCCCAACAAGUCUGUUGCUAUGCUCAUUCCACAAUAGAGACAGAUUAACCCAGAGUUGUGUACUAGGACUAAGCAAAAUUAUCAGUGGAAAUACUAUCGAUCUCAAUAUGUAAAUUAUCCUCUCCUUGUCCCAGUUUAGCAUACUUUUUUUUUGUUCUCCAGUGUGGGAACUUUCUUUUGCAGCCAACUCUGCUAAUGCUUUUGAUAGAUUUGGCACAAGGGAAAAUAUCGUCAGCAUGUAAAAUAUCAAUGAAUUACUGUACAUAUUCAAAAGAAAACUACCUGUUAUUGAUACUUGAUGGGGCAGUCCAAAAUAACAUUGUAAAAUGUGUUGGUAAGAUGACCGUAGUGAAUAGUGUCUAAUAUUUCAUAACAAUAAACUCCCAGGUUUACAGUGUUGUUUACAUUAACAUAUCUUUUUUUGCUAGGUUGAAGUGAUAAGCUAAUUUGUGAGUAGAAUUUGCUGUCCAGUAGUAAUCCUGCAAUAAAUUGUAGAAUGUAUAGCAAUUGCGUUUGUGGGUCUAUUGUCUGUGUCAUGACGGAAAAUAAAAACUAAUUAUAGAUCCUGUACACUGCUUAA